AGUUCCUCUAGUAAAUACCUUUAUGUUGUCAUCCAAGGUAUUGCAGGGUGUGAUGAGCUGUGAUUUGUCUGAGUCUAAGAAAUUCAGUAUUCUUACCACAGCCUAUUAAUGGGUUGAAACAAAGAAAGCCUCUUUCCUUUGUUGGUCCUUCCAUGUGUUGGCUUGUGUGCGUUUUACCUUUUGGGCAAUGUAGGUCUUCUGUGUUGCUGGUAUUAAUUUCUAAUGCCCAAUUAAUCAUAUAAUGGCAUUAAAAUCAACCAAAUCAAACUGGUGUUGUCAGAUCACUUACAUGUCUGACAGCAACAUGGGUACAGUGACUUUCACUCUUUCUCCUGCAUAUUCAGUUUCCUGUUUGUAUGGCUUUGCACAUGCAAGAGGAUGAGAAAACACUUCCUAAGAAGACAGGAUUGCAAAAUACACACUGGACAGCUUGGGAGCCAGUUGGAAGAUGGUAGAAAUUAUUUUUAACAACUUCUGAUUGAUUUUGUUUUAGGCUGGCACAUGUUUUUCUUGGCUUAUUAAUGUGAUAUGUGUCCUAUGCUAAACUAAAGAGAAAAGGGACAAAAAUUGAACCUGCUUGGCAGUAGCUGCCAAUGUGUACAGUGAUGUGCAAAUACAGUUUCUGUGAAGCUCCUAAUUCUGGGAUUUGUUUGCACAGGAAAAGUGUAAUUUCACAAGCUUUGCACUUGUGACUGCUAAUCACAAUUUUAAUAUCCACAUCUUCACCCUGAGUCACGUGUCAGUGCCAGGUCCCCAGUGAUACCAUAAAUGUUUAUAAAAUUCAGCUGGACAGUAGUGAAAUCCAAGCGUGAAAAUGAUCAGCUUUGUCCCAUUUUCCUUUCCUUCCUUUCUAGCUUGCUGCUUUUUCUCUUUUGCCCUUUUUCCUUUAUUCCUUGCUUUCUUGGAAACCUCCGUAGCUGUAGAAUAUAAGUCAAAACACCAGAAAGCUUGCAUGUUCUUUGCAAGCAGCCAUUGCACCCCUUAUUGAGCAUUCAUUUACUUUUCAGUACUCCCCCCAGGCUAAAAGUAACCUGAAAUCAUCAUUCUAUCCUUCUCAUUUUCUUGUUUCUUGUUCAAAGUAUUGCUUUCUCCAUAAGAGUUCAUGGCACAUAUUUGCCAUUUUAAACUUCCUCUGUUUUUAAGGAAGUGUUGAUAACAGCCUGUCUUUUCCUAGAAAGACUGAAAAGAAAAAAGUGAUUUUUUUUUUCCCCCCUGUAAGUCCAUACAUUUUCAUUCAGAAUUACAUUUCACCUCAUAGAUGCACUUAAAAUUAUCUGUGCCAUUUGUGUUCUUUGUGUACAGAAUUAUGUGCUGUAGACAGCAACUUCUGGCUCUUUUAGAGCUGCUGAUCAGAAGGCAAAUGGGAGAGAAAUAGUCUGGAAAAAAAGAACCAGACUGUAGUCUGUGCUGUGCUCUUUAUGUAUUUUCCAGCUGGUUUCACUUCUGACCUUCAGUAUUCCUCAUGGGACACUGAUGCAAAUCUGCAUUCACUUUUUUUUCUCUUUGUAUGUAAGGCACAAGACCUAAAGUAAAGCAGUAAUUUGCAAUAUUAGGAAUUGUGGCUCAUUUUUCCUGUCCCCAGUGUGAACGUGCACAUUUAAAUAUGAAUGAAAGUGGGCUAGAAACCCCUUGAACCCUCGAGUUUUGCACAGACUGCCUGUUCUUUCUGGUUUAAGUACUGUACUUUUUUUUCUUUCCUUUGCCAAACAACAGCUACCAUAUGGGCUAAGCUUUAGCCAGUCAACUACAAAAUUACAAACACUCUUUUGACUGUAAAUUGAAUGGAAAAGGAUGUCAGUUAUCGCUUUCCUCCUGUGGCCACAUCACAAGAGCACCUGCAGUAAAAAACUGGCAUUCAUGCAUUCAUGCUCUGAAAGGCACCACAUGCUUCCAUUGUUAGCUGAACAGUAUCUAACCUUGGCUUUGCUCGCCCCACUCCUAUCGCACUGAGGAGAUUGCAAAGAUAAGAGCCUCACUUUUGAAUACCAGUUCACUUAGGGGCACAUCUCAGCACUUACCUACACUAUUUUGUUUCCACUAAAGGAAGUAAAAAUCCACUUAGGAAGGUGGCUGGCUGUGGUAUCCCUCAAAGAGGAGGCUUUGACUUAGCUACAUGUUUACCAUAUUUAUUUUGAAAUUUGUUAUGAAAUUACAAGUGCUCUCCCUAGAAUCUUCACACUGUGACUGGUUCAGUUCACUUACAGGAUUAUCUGGUUUCCUCCCUGGAUACCAGAACAAAACAAUUCUGUUUCUUGCCUGUGCACAGGUAGGCUGGAUUUUGACCCUUCCUGUGUCCCCAGGGCGGAUUUGAACUAGAAGCUGCAGAAGCAUGUGCUAAGAGGAUUUGAGCAGGGGGAGACUGGUGAUGUCUGGAAGCAGUGAAGAGGGCAGUUCAUUCAGGGAGGCAGCUGCAAGGCCAGGAGAGGGUCCUUGUGUCCCAACAUGUAAUAUGACAGCUGGGCUGGGGAGCAGGCUGUGAGAGCACCUGCAGCUGCUGCUGUCAAGGCCCCACCAGGCCUUGUAUUCUAGGAAGGCUGGUGAAACUCCCCAUCAUCUGCUAUGUCUGUUAACUCUUCCUAGGUAUGUGCAUGUUGUCAUUGAACUAGCCAAGAUGUUUAUUCAGUCUGUGAUUUAAAAUGCUUGGGAAGAAUAGGGAGUUUAAUAAUUAGGUUAUUUUCUUUUGUCCUCUGAAGCCUAAAGCUACAUGGCUGACUGAAGUAUUGGUGGUCUUGUUGAGUCACCCAGUGGCUUGCUUAUGGAAAGCCUUAUGGCUUUUGUUCAAAGACUCCUUGAAGUUCAGUGCCUACAACCUAAACUCCACUCGUGGAUCAUUAGAGGGUAGUCAUUAGGUCCAAGAUUCAGUGCACUGAAAAAAGUAUUAUAGUGCUAAGGAAUUUAUGGGGUGACCAGAUAACAUUCAGGAUGUUAAUUUACAAUUACUGCCUAUGACUUAAAAUUGUACCAAUUGGAGGCCUUGGGCAUUCCUGCCAGUGUUAAAAGCCACAAUGCUUAAACACAACUAUGUAAUUCUAACAUUAAGCUGGCUGUGCAAUUCAGGUAAUUAUCUGGCAGCAUGUAACAUCAAAGAGGCUUUGUAUUUAUAUGUAUCACACUGUGCAGUUGCCCUUCUCCCCAGAAGUGAGUGGAUGAUAGAAACUACUGCUGUUUGAAUAACCUCAAAACAAGAUGUUUAUGUUCAAAAGUUGUUUUUAGAAAAUGCUCUGUACCUUCACAGAGUUCUAAAAUCUUUUCUUCUAAGAUGGUAGAUGAUACCUUAUAUAAUGAACACCAUCAGACAGUUCAUCCUUGGUUCCUUUCCCAGCUCUAGGCCUUCCUUUAGUAUUCAUGCAUAUUAUGACUGCUUUGACUAACAUGCCUGGCAAGUAUUUCCACAGGUUUAUUAAGCUCAAAGUCAGAAAAUUAAAUGUCUUUUAUAGUGUUUUUUUUUUAAUAUCUCUUUGUGCCCUUCUUUCCUACCAUCUGUGCUGCACUGAAAAUUAAUGGCCCAGGUUUCCAUUACCUGUAUCAUAUGUGAAUGUUUGGUCUUUAUUCUUCCUUUGUUUCUAUUCUAAACAUUUUGUAGAUGAAGCAGGCAAAUAUGUACAAUAUUUAUUACUUAACAAUAAAAUCUGUAGCAUUUCUUAUGUCUAGUGCCUUUUAAAACAGGUUUGGAGAGAUGCUGUGGCAUAGCUGACUACUGGAAAUAUUGUAGAUUCUUCACAGCUGAGGUUGCACGUUGUCUCUCAUGGUAAGCUUGUUUUUCCACAACUUUCCUAGAUUGUUAAAAAAAAAUGUAAAUAUGGUACAUCUGCUAGGAAGAAAAGUCCUAAGUUUGGGAGAGGUGUAUGAACACCUGUAUUUGAAGCAGCACUUCUGUUGCUAGCUUUUCAGUGUUUCCUGCCUGACAGUUUCCCCAUGGGUAUCUCAAAAAUGUCUUAAAUGACAAAAUUCCAGCUGUUUUUGGUUGUCAUGUCUCAGUAGAAACUCCAGGUGAAUUGUUGCAGACUUGUCCUCAGAGUUCCACCUACAUGAUAAUGCUGUAAAGAGGAAAAGGAAUGAAGUGGGAGCUCAUCAAAGCAGGGAGAACUGAAGAAAAAGGCAUGGGAUUAUGCAGAGGGAGGCUUUUCCUGCCUUUCAGUCAUCAGCCCCUGAACACUUUUCCUCUCUGGUCUCUCCAAAACACACCCAGCUGCCCCAGGGAAUUACAGCAAAUAAAGCUUUGUGGUUUCCUUCCUCCGGUCUCCUUGGUUAUCUGGGUUGGCACAGAGCCUGGGUUCUGCUUCCCCUCACCCUUGAGCACCUUUGUGUCCCCAGCCAUUGGAUCCU